rnacentral:rRNA from 1 species
AACUAACGCUGGCGGCAUGCCUUACACAUGCAAGUCGAACGGUAACAGGUCUUCGGAUGCUGACGAGUGGCGAACGGGUAAGUAAUACAUCGGAACGUGCCCGAUCGUGGGGGAUAACGGAGCGAAAGCUUUGCUAAUACCGCAUACGAUCUACGGAUGAAAGCAGGGGACCGCAAGGCCUUGCGCGGACGGAGCGGCCGAUGGCAGAUUAGGUAGUUGGUGGGAUAAAAGCUUACCAAGCCGACGAUCUGUAGCUGGUCUGAGAGGACGACCAGCCACACUGGGACUGAGACACGGCCCAGACUCCUACGGGAGGCAGCAGUGGGGAAUUUUCCACAAUGGGCGCAAGCCUGAUGGAGCAACGCCGCGUGCAGGAUGAAGGCUUUCGGGUCGUAAACUGCUUUUAUUUGUGACGAUUAUGACAGUAGCAAAUGAAUAAGGGUCGGCUAACUACGUG